rnacentral:lncRNA from 1 species
UUAGUGAGUUUUAUGCAUCCCUUAGGUUUCUCUCCAGACCAAGACAUAUUGAUCAACCUGGCUGAAUAUUAGGCUUGGCGAAUCUUUAAGUAAGUUACUUAUCCACUGAAGGUACACCAUGUCAGCCUCCUAGAACAUUUCUAUAAAACUCAGAGAUGUUUAUUUCUGAAAUGGAAUGAAAUCCUGCUUGUGAAACUAGUUGGAAGAAUUACUGCCAGCAUAGCUUCAUAA